UCAGUGGGUGGGGUGAUCGCUGGUGUGGGCCGCGGCUUGCCGUGGUCCCGUACUGGAGGAAAGUCCGGGCUCCGCAGGGCGGGAUGGUCGAUAACGUCGACCGGCCGUGAGGUUAGGGAAAGUGCAGCAGAGAGCAAACCGCCGAACGGUUGGUUCAUUGAAUCAAUGCGUGGUAAGGGUGAAACGGUGCGGUAAGAGCGCACCAGCGGGCGGGGUGACUCGUCCGGCUUGGUAAACCCCAUCCGGAGCUAGACCAAACAGGAUGCAUGAAGCGGCCCGCUUCGCUACGACAUCCGGGUAGGUUGCGAUUGAGGCGGCGAGCAAUCGUCGUGCACAGAUAAAUGGUCACUGGCGUUCGUGUCGAGCUUGCUCGGUGCGACGUUACAAAACCCGGCUUACAAACCCACUUGUUCG
rnacentral:RNase_P_RNA from 1 species